AUCUUGGUGCUUAUUGGUUUAAUUUAUUUGAUUGGGUUUGGUUUUUUUUUUAUGUUAUUAGUGUUUCAUUCAUGUUUGUUAGAUAUGUGAAGAAAAGCUAGUUGGGAGGACAUGAAACUAUAAUCAAUUAGUUAUUAAAAGAUUGAAAAAAUUGUAUUGUUUUUACUUUUCUUUAUCCAAACCUUAUCACUCACCCUCUUUAAUUC
rnacentral:lncRNA from 1 species